ACUCCUACGGGAGGCAGCAGUGGGAAUAUUGCACAAUGGGCGCAAGCCUGAUGCAGCCAUGCCGCGUGUAUGAAGAAGGCCUUCGGGUUGUAAAGUACUUUCAGCAGUGAGGAAGGUGGGUAUGUUAAUAGCAUACUCAUUUGACGUUAGCUGCAGAAGAAGCGCCGGCUAACUACGUGCCAGCAGCCGCGGUAAUACGUAGGGCGCAAGCGUUGUCCGGAAUUAUUGGGCGUAAAGAGCUCGUAGGCGGUUUGUCGCGUCUGCUGUGAAAUCCCGAGGCUCAACCUCGGGCCUGCAGUGGGUACGGGCAGACUAGAGUGUGGUAGGGGAGACUGGAAUUCCUGGUGUAGCGGUGGAAUGCGCAGAUAUCAGGAGGAACACCGAUGGCGAAGGCAGGUCUCUGGGCCACAACUGACGCUGAGGAGCGAAAGCGUGGGGAGCAAA
rnacentral:rRNA from 1 species